GAUGAACGCUGGCGGCGUGCCUAAUACAUGCAAGUCGAGCGAACAGACGAGGAGCUUGCUCCUCUGACGUUAGCGGCGGACGGGUGAGUAACACGUGGAUAACCUACCUAUAAGACUGGGAUAACUUCGGGAAACCGGAGCUAAUACCGGAUAAUAUAUUGAACCGCAUGGUUCAAUAGUGAAAGACGGUUUUGCUGUCACUUAUAGAUGGAUCCGCGCCGCAUUAGCUAGUUGGUAAGGUAACGGCUUACCAAGGCGACGAUGCGUAGCCGACCUGAGAGGGUGAUCGGCCACACUGGAACUGGGACACGGUCCAGACGCCUACGGGAGGCAGCAGUAGGGAAUCUUCCGCAAUGGGCGAAAGCCUGGCGGAGCAACGCCGCGUGAGUGAUGAAGGUCUUCGGAUCGUAAAACUCUGUUAUUAGGGAAGAACAAAUGUGUAAGUAACUAUGCACGUCUUGACGGUACCUAAUCAGAAAGCCACGGCUAACUACGUG
rnacentral:rRNA from 1 species